UACAGAGGUCCCGAGCGUUGUUCGGAUUCACUGGGCGUAAAGGGUGCGUAGGUGGUGAGGUAAGUCGGAUGUGAAAUCUCCAGGCUCAACCUGGAAACUGCAUUGGAAACUACCUUGCUAGAGGGUUUGAGGGGGGACUGGAAUUCUCGGUGUAGCAGUGAAAUGCGUAGAUAUCGAGAGGAACACCUGCGGCGAAGGCGGGUUGCUGGGCUGACACUGACGCUGAGGCGCGAAAGCUAGGGGAGCGAACGGG
rnacentral:rRNA from 1 species